rnacentral:rRNA from 1 species
UAUCUCUGUAGAGUCUGCAUAUCAAUAAGCGGAGGAAAAGAAACUAACAAGGAUUCCCUUAGUAACGGCGAGUGAAGCGGGAAGAGCUCAAAUUUGAAAUCUUCAAGGUUCUACCUUGACGAAUUGUAGUUUAUAGAAGUGUUUUCUGUUAGUGAAGUUGGCUAAAAGUUCUUUGGAAUAGGACAUCAUAGAGGGUGAGAAUCCCGUAUUUGACCAUUAUUUUCAGCUGUGUGAUACACUUUCAAAGAGUCGGAUUGUUUGGGAAUGCAGUCCAAAAUGGGUGGUAAAUUUCAUCUAAAGCUAAAUACUGGCGAGAGACCGAUAGCGAACAAGUACCGUGAGGGAAAGAUGAAAAGAACUUUGAAAGAGAGUUAAACAGUACGUGAAAUUGUCAAAAGGGAAGCGUUUGACACCAGUGUUGUUUUCUCGAAAAUCAAUUAAAAAUGGCUGGAUUUUGUGUUGUAUUGACUCUUAUAAGCUUUCUGCACUCUUAUUCAUGUCUUUUUAAUGCACUUUUCGUUUAACAAGUCAACAUCAAUUUCUUUUGUUGUAAAAGAGUCAUUGGAAGGUGGCUUUUCUUUCGGAAAAAGUGUUUAUAGCCUUUGACUCCUGCAAUCGGAGAGACUGAGGUCUGCAGCGUAGAUCCUUCGGGAUUAGAUUCACAUUGUGCUAAGUUACUAGCCUUUCAUAGACAACUUGUUGACUAUGAUUCAGUCAUUGUAGCUUACUCGCUUAUGCUAUUUUACCUACGCUUAGGAUGUUGAGUAGCGACAUACGCAC